GCGAAAGUGGGGACCGCCACACAGUUGGCUGCGGAUUAAAGGAAAAUCAAUGUGACGUUAAGCAAGACAUUUAUUGUGCCCACAGCUUCACCAUUCUGGUCUCUAUGAUUCCCUGCGAAGAUUGCUGUUAUCCCCCAGAGACACAGCUGAGCUGUCUCUCUAAAGGGCCUGUGUUCUACUCCUGAAUCUGGUUUCCCCUAAGCUUUUAUCUCACCCUGGUGACAGCUCAGAAACACACAAACUCUGUGUUAAGAAAACUAAGAAGUCAUUCAUCUGCACAUUUCCCGAAAUCCCCCAGAAGCCCGUAUUAGACUGAAUGGUGUCCUUAUUGCAAACUCUCCACUUUAGCCAAGGUGCAAAGUCCUCCCAGUCCCCCAGGAGCUUCCCUUCUCUGAGCGGUACUUAAGUUUUCUGUAAAACCACUCAGUUCAACAAAUGAGCUUCUCAAUCUUAGUUUCUGCUUGUUGACUUUAAAGUUAAUCUAUAAUAAACACACUGCAGUCCUCUUCCCUGACUCAUUGUCCACUUUGUCCAUUUGUGUCCUCAUACCAGAUUGUCUCAAUUCUCUUAACUGGUGAGAUAUUAUGAACUCAAAGCAUUUUGCACAAUGAUAUUCCAA
rnacentral:lncRNA from 1 species